AUCCUGUCUGAAUAUGGGGGGACCAUCCUCCAAGGCUAAAUACUCCUGACUGACCGAUAGUGAACCAGUACCGUGAGGGAAAGGCGAAAAGAACCCCGGCGAGGGGAGUGAAAAAGAACCUGAAACCGUGUACGUACAAGCAGUGGGAGCCCUGAUUUAUCAGGGUGACUGCGUACCUUUUGUAUAAUGGGUCAGCGACUUAUAUUCUGUAGCAAGGUUAACCGAAUAGGGGAGCCGGAGGGAAACCGAGUCUUAACUGGGCGUUAAGUUGCAGGGUAUAGACCCGAAACCCGGUGAUCUAGCCAUGGGCAGGUUGAAGGUUGGGUAACACUAACUGGAGGACCGAACCGACUAAUGUUGAAAAAUUAGCGGAUGACUUGUGGCUGGGGGUGAAAGGCCAAUCAAACCGGGAGAUAGCUGGUUCUCCCCGAAAGCUAUUUAGGUAGCGCCUCGUGAAUUCAUCUCCGGGGGUAGAGCACUGUUUCGGCAAGGGGGUCAUCCCGACUUACCAACCCGAUGCAAACUGCGAAUACCGGAGAAUGUUAUCACGGGAGACACACGGCGGGUGCUAACGUCCGUCGUGAAGAGGGAAACAACCCAGACCGCCAGCUAAGGUCCCAAAGUCAUGGUUAAGUGGGAAACGAUGUGGGAAGGCCCAGACAGCCAGGAUGUUGGCUUAGAAGCAGCCAUCAUUUAAAGAAAGCGUAAUAGCUCACUGGUCGAGUCGGCCUGCGCGGAAGAUGUAACGGGGCUAAACCAUGCACCGAAGCUGCGGCAGCGACGCUGAUGCGUUGUUGGGUAGGGGAGCGUUCUGUAAGCCUGUGAAGGUGUGCUGUGAGGCAUGCUGGAGGUAUCAGAAGUGCGAAUGCUGACAUAAGUAACGAUAAAGCGGGUGAAAAGCCCGCUCGCCGGAAGACCAAGGGUUCCUGUCCAACGUUAAUCGGGGCAGGGUGAGUCGACCCCUAAGGCGAGGCCGAAAGGCGUAGUCGAUGGGAAACAGGUUAAUAUUCCUGUACUUGGUGUUACUGCGAAGGGGGGACGGAGAAGGCUAUGUUGGCCGGGCGACGGUUGUCCCGGUUUAAGCGUGUAGGCUGGUUUUCCAGGCAAAUCCGGAGAAUCAAGGCUGAGGCGUGAUGACGAGGCACUACGGUGCUGAAGCAACAAAUGCCCUGCUUCCAGGAAAAGCCUCUAAGCAUCAGGUAACAUCAAAUCGUACCCCAAACCGACACAGGUGGUCAGGUAGAGAAUACCAAGGCGCUUGAGAGAACUCGGGUGAAGGAACUAGGCAAAAUGGUGCCGUAACUUCGGGAGAAGGCACGCUGAUGGUA
rnacentral:rRNA from 2 species